rnacentral:rRNA from 1 species
ACUCAAAGGAAUUGACGGGGGCCCGCACAAGCGGUGGAGCAUGUGGUUCAAUUCGACGCAACGCGAAGAACCUUACCUGGGCUCGAACGGCUGGCUAACGAUCGUGGAAACACGGUUACUCCGCAAGGGGGUCCAGUCGAGGUGCUGCAUGGCUGUCGUCAGCUCGUGUCGUGAGAUGUUGGGUUAAGUCCCGCAACGAGCGCAACCCUUGUCCUGUGUUGCCACAUCGUAAGAUAGCACUCGCAGGAGACCGCCAGCGAUAAGCUGGAGGAAGGUGGGGAUGAUGUCAAGUCAUCAUGGCCUUUAUGUCCAGGGCUACACACGUGCUACAAUGGCCGGUACAAUGCGCUGCAAACCCGCGAGGGGGAGCCAAUCGCAAAAAACCGGUCUCAGUUCGGAUCGCAGGCUGCAACUCGCCUGCGUGAAGCUGGAAUCGCUAGUAAUGGCGUAUCAGAACGAUGCCGUGAAUACGUUCCCGGGCCUUGUACACACCGCCCGU